AGUCUCCAUCCAGGCCCCCUUCUCUCUAGCCAGCAGCACUGAACACUAGUAGACUCUGGCACUGGGCAAGAGGCUACUAGGCAUGCACAUGUCUCCAGGAAAAUGGAGCUGCGCCCAUUUUCCUGAUGAUUCCCCUACUUCAUAUGUGCAAAACCCUCCACUCCACUUUCCAGGUGACUUUGCAGUGCUGCUGCUGCCGGCGCGGGACUCCAGAACUGUAACUCUUGAAGAAAUGGGUGUACAGUGUGCGGCAUGGACCCCCCUGGACCCAGAGGCCCUGCACCCAUUAUAAAUUCGCCAGAGUCUGGUUGCUAUGGUUACCAAGUCCCAACCCCUGAACGCUUGCUGGACGGGCCGGGAGCUUGUAAUUUCCGGAGGUCGGACGAGACAUGACCGGAAGUCGGGCAGCGUGGAUGGCGGUGACGGAAGGACCAUAUGCUCUUAAGCACCAACGGAAUGAAGACACAUUUCUCAGAACACUGUGUCUGAAGCAUGAAUGGCACAUGAUGAGAUAAAAGCAGAUUGCAGCUGCAGAAUGAACAGCUCGGAAUGGAAUCCUGCUUUAAUGUAACAAUUCUGUGCAUCAUUGAUAUUCUCUUUACAUCAA